rnacentral:rRNA from 1 species
UACGAGGGGGGCGAGCGUUGUUCGGAAUUAUUGGGCGUAAAGGGCGCGUAGGCGGUGCGGUAAGUCACCUGUGAAACCUCUGGGCUUAACUCAGAGCCUGCAGGCGAAACUGCCGUGCUGGAGUGUGGGAGAGGUGCGUGGAAUUCCCGGUGUAGCGGUGAAAUGCGUAGAUAUCGUAAGGAAGACCAGUGGCGAAGGCGGGUCUCUGGACAGUUCCUGACGCUGAAGCACGAAGGCCAGGGGAGCAAACGGG